UUUUUUAUUUUUUUGGUUUUUAGAGCUAUGCCCUGGUAUAUGGAAGUUUCCAUGCUAGGGGUUGAAUUGGAAGCUAUAGCUGCUGGAGCUCACAGCAACACCAGACCCCCAACCCACCAAGAAAAGCCAGGCAUUGAACCUCCAUCAUCAUGGAUUCUAGUCAGGUUCAUUUCCACUGCACCAUGACAGGAGCUCAAAGAGGUCCUAAUUUUAAAGGUAGAAGAGUAGCUCUAUGGUGGACAGUCUUAUAAAUAGCUAUAUUAAUCAAGAAAUAAAGUCUCAUCAUCAUAAAUAAUGGGAACAUUAUGAAAUAGCACAAUAUCUGAUAGGAUCCAAUGAGAAGGUAUCAUCGCUUCUAUGACAUUUCUGCCAAAGGUUCAUAAAUUGAAUAGAGUCAUGCAGAAACUUUAGACAAAAAUUGAAGGACAUAAUAUAUAAUUACUGGGAAAUGAUUUCCAAACAACAUUCUUGAAAGUUAACAGAAGACUAGGAAACUAUUCCAAAUAAAAGGAUACUAAAAUAUAAAAAUUAGACAAAACAUGCAGUUCUAAAUUAAACUAUAUUCUUUUUUUCUAUAAAGGGAAAAUAUUCUACAUUUGGAUAAGAUUGGAGGAUUUGGUGUUAAUAACAUAUCAUAAUUAACAUCUUGACAGUAAUGUUUUUAUUGCGCUUAGCUAGUAGAAUAUUCUUUUUUUAUAAAUACACAUAAGUAUAUGGAAUGGCAGAUGGAGCAACAAGUGGCUUAGGAAUAAAAGAUCCUUGUUAUGUAUUUUUCUUUAUGUGUUAUAUUGUUUCAAAAUAAAAGUAAAUAAGAGUCAUAAUCCAGUUAAUGAAAUUCCAAUUUACUGCCUAAUGGAAACAAGAGAGGGGUUUCCGUUUUAGGUAAACUUUCUCACCAGUAGAACUCAUCACUUUGUCCCAUGGCAGAGGAAUAUCUGAAAUUCUUGUUGGCAUUAAAUAUUUUAAAUAUGUCAAGUUUAAAUCAUUUCUUGUUCUAAGAGAAUAUCCCAUCAGUUUUGUAGUUAAAGCAUUUCACAGGGUUUUUCUGCUUGAUUUUUCUUUAAUUCUUUGCUUUCUGUUUCUUCUUUUUCCUUUCUUUACUUUUUUCUUUCUUUUUUUAAACUUAAUUGGUAUGUCCUUUCUGAAAGCAGUCUCCAGAGGGCAUUUCUUUUGCUUUCCUCUUUUAAUUUCAAUUAAUCCCCUGUGCCUCUUAUGGGCAAAAUGAUAAAACUGCAGCUUUUGUU
rnacentral:lncRNA from 1 species